rnacentral:lncRNA from 1 species
UUUAUUACUUUGUGUGUGAUUUAUUCCACUCACAAAAAUAAAUAAUGAUGUUUGAAUUGGAAUUGUAAUGACCAAUUUUGGCCCGGGCCCGCUAAAACCCCAAUCACAUAUAUACAUAUAAAAUAUCUACAAAUAAAUAAAUGAAUAAAAUAAAGUCCAUUUAGUUAGUGUCCUAUUACAAGCCCAAACAGUCCACUAAAAUUAAUACCCUAGCCCAUUUACAAAACAGUCCAAAGCUUCAAGGCCCAAAAUAGCCCAAAAGUUGAAACAACUUCAGUAACCCUAGGUCACUCCUCCUUCCUGCGCCGCACCAGUAAUCGGACAGUAGCUCCGUGCCUCCGUACGCCCUAACAUUUUAGCAGCCACGCCCGAGCCAACGCAAUCCCGUACCGAGCGCCACGCACCCUGUACCUGCAAAGAAUGGACAAACGCACAACAAAACAAACAAAACAACGAAGAAUAUUGUAUUUUUCGAUUUAUUUUUUUAUCAUUUUUACCCCGAUUCGGCUAUAAAGCCAGGGGAUUUCACCAGUUGUAAGGUUACGCACACAAUCAAUACAUUUGAAAUACCAAACACAAAAGAAAUUAAAAGGUGAGAUUCAGAUUCUGGGUUCCUUUUUUUCUUUUUUCGUUUCCCCCUAUUUUCUUGAACAAAGAAAAAUCAAGGAGAAAAGAGACAGAAGCUUUACCUUCGUGAGUGCGCCUUGGAGAUCUCCAUCCCCUUCGUCGAUAUCGAAGGCAGAGAGAGGGCUUUGUGGCUAAAGUCAUUAAACCGUGGAGUCGAGUAGAAAGAAGGCUCCACCGUAGGAUUUUAUCCAUCAAUCGUCGUGGUGGAUUAAAGGUCGAACGGCGGCUGAAUGAGGGCAAGUACUUAGGGUUUUGGCUUCCCUUGUCUGCUUUGCUAAAAUACUCCGAUGUUUGGGCCGAUUUUCCCUUCUAAUUGAAUGCAUGGAGUGACGCUGUUUCAGGCUAAGUUCAAUAGCCUUUGAAACGACGCCGUAUGGACCCAUCUGGCAUGACCCGGACACGUGUGACCUGAUCCGAGGAGGAUCCGCAUGCUUCCCAUGAAUGGGAAAUUUGCCUCUUAAGUCCUUCCCUUUUCGUCCCGCUUUCAAAUCAGCUAACAUUUGCAUUUUUUUUGUUUUUUUUAAAUUUCACCCUGUAAUUUCGCGCGUACUCAUACUUUGGUCCGAACCCGAGCGUUGCAUUACGGGGGUCUGGGUUAUUUUCAGAUUGGGUCCCUGCGCAUUCGCAAGUGUUACACACCGGUCCUUCUUUUUUUUUUAACAGCUUAUUUUAUUUAAAUUUUUCUCUUUAUUUUUAACUUGAUUUCAAUUUAGUUUCUUUUAGAUUCAUUCCUUGUUUUUUACUCGUGUUCAUUUAUUCGUAUAAAUUGUGUCAUUGGUAUCAUUUAUUUACUUACUUAUUUAUAAUUUUGGAUAACCAUAUUUUCAUACCUUAUGUAUUAUUUUUUACGAAUGUUUUUAUACAUAUACUAUUAUGUAGAUAUGCAUACAUACUUUAUAAUAAGGUCAACUUUUAAUUUUCAAGCUUAUUGUCAAUAUUAUAUUAUUUUAUAUACAUGAAGUUUUAUUUAAGUAUAUUCUCAUAAUCAUAUUACGUAAUUCUUAUAAUAUAUCUUUUAAAUCAUCGUUCUAAAACUCUUCUUGCAUUAAGCCAUUUUAAUAUUCUUAUAUAACCUCUUGUCUAAAUAUUAAUAUAUACAUAUACAUACAUAUACUUUGUAUUAAAGCCUUUUUACAUAUAUAUGUAUACUAGUAUUAACCUUAUAUUAUUUUUAUACAUGUGACUCCUUAAAUAAUUUUCUUCUUGUAUUCUAUUAUAUAAUCUUACGAAAUGCAUCUUUUAAAUUAUUAUAUACGUAUAUAUAUAUUCAUCGAUACCUAUAUUUGGUCUAUAUCUUAUUAAACCCGUGUAUUUUAAUAAAUAUUUUUUAUUCAAAUAAGCUUUUUAUAUAUAUUUUUUACAUAAAAUCCGAGUUAUUUCAUAGCCGUACAUGUUUUGAUUUACAUACAUUAUCAAACUUAUAUAUAUUAUCAUUCUCUAUGUGCAUUUACAUGUACUCCCUUUUAAAUUUAUAUAUAUAUAUUUAUAUAUUAAUACAAUUAUUACUUUAAUAGAUUUCUUAUUUUAAAAUACUUCUUGCUUUAUGAUUUAUUAAAUUUUCUAUUUAUAUGUAUAUAUGAAAUAAUUCUUGGAAACUCCAUUUUUAUAUAUAAUUACAAGAUUACCGUUUUCAAAUGCAUUUGUAUAUACCAUAUUGCUCCCGUGGUUUGCAUUUUGCUUUAUGCCUCUAAUGAUUUUAUUAUGCCAUGUAUGUGGUAGUUGUAUUUUAUUUACUCAUUAUUGUCAUGUUAGUUGUUCUCUAUGAAUAAUUGAAGUCGAGUUAUAUUUUUAAGUUAAUUGUAUUUAAUUGCUUAUUUUCUUAGUUGAUUAGUAUUCUCAUUCAUCAAGUAUGGUAUUUCAUAUGCGCCUAUUACCUCAUAUCAUCGUUCUCCAUCUUGUUUUUUUUGAAAUAUGGUUUUUGGGAAAUUCAAAUUUUCAUGAUUAACUUUGUUUUAUUUCAAAUUGAAUUUAUACGUCUUAAGCUAGCUUUAUAAUCAUUCAUUCAAAAUUCUUCAAAACGAAGACGAGAUUUGAUGUUUGACAAUUCGCGGAAUCGUGCCCUAACAUUUUAGGUUGCAAUUUCGCAUUUACUCAAAAUAAUCGAAUAUCGCUUCAAAAUUUCACUCAUGUCUUUUAAAAUUUUUCGAAACGAAGGCGAGAUUCGAUAUUUAGCAAUUCGCAGAAUUGUGCCCUAACGUGUUGGGUUGCAAUUUCUUGUUUGCUCUAAAUAAUCGAGUAUCCCUUCAAAAUUUUACUCAUCCCUUUUAAGAACCCUUUAAAACAAAGGCAAUGUUUGAUAUUUGGUAAUUCGUGGAAUCGUGCCCUAACGUGUUGGGUUGCGAUUUCUCGUUUGCUCGAAAUAAUCAAAUAACCCUUCAAAAUUUCACUCGUAUCCUUUAAAACGAAGGUAAUACUCGGUAUUUGACAAUUCGAGAAUCAUGCCCUAUCGUACUGGGUUGUGAUUUCUCAUUUGUUCAGAACAAUCGAAUAUUCCUUUAGGUUUUCAUUCAUGUUUAUUAAAAACCUCUCAAAACCAAGGCGAUGUUCGAUGUUUGGCGAUUUGAGAAUCGAGCCCUAUCGUGCUGGGUUGCACUUUUUCAUUUGUCCAAAAUAAUCGAACAUCUCUUUGGAAUUUUACACGUAUUUUCUAAAGUGAGGAAAUGUUCGAUGUUCGAAAAUUCGAGGAAUUAUGCCCUACUGUGCUGGGUUUCGUUUUUUUUGUUGGACUAAAUAGUUGAGCAUCCUCUUAUGAGUUUCAAAUAAAAUUUUUCAGAUAUCAAAACAAGGAGAUUUUUGGCAGCCAACCCUAGCUAUUCAAAUGUUAUUAACAAGAACCACAUUUCAAAAACAUUCUUAAUUUUAGACAUAAGGACAGUAUUUAAUCGAUUUGGUACCAAUUUUGGGCAUAAUGAGGGUGCUAAUCCUUCCUCUUACGUAACCGACUCCCGAGGCCAUUUUCUCAUAUUUUCGUAGACCAGAAUCGUUGUUUUAGUAAACCAAAAAUGUUUUAUUAAAUAACUAAAUUCUCAGGUGAUCCGAUCACACAAAAAACAAAAGGAUCGGUGGCGACUCCAUAUUUCUAUUUCCCAAAUAGUCGAUUUCUUCCUUUUUUAAAAAUUUAAAAUAUUUGAAUAAAAGGGUGGUUUCGAUAGCUUGGCGACUCCACUAGGGACCAACUUGAGAGUCGAGCCAUAAAAAUCGAUUAUUUACUGUCUUUUUGCUAAAAAACCGAAAAUUUAUUUUAAAAAAAUCAUGUAUCUUUCGAUUGCAUAUUUGUACGGGUCUUGUAGAAUAGCACUGCAUUUCAUUGCAUGACCACUGUGGUCACACCUUUUAAGUGGGAGAAAGAAGCUACGCUUUUGUGAGGUUUUCACCUCCGCAUGAGCUAGUGGAUUGCUUCCGGGGUACACCGCACCUAUGAUUUCGUGAGAUUUUCAUCUCCGCAUGGUCAUAGGGAAAUGUGUCCCCCUGAACCGAACUCGAUCUAUAUGAGCCUAUAAUGGGUGAGGAUUGAGGAAUCUGCUAGUUCGGGUACCUUAUCUCUAGAACUAAACCACAUAUAGUGAACCUUAGGACCUAUCCUUGGGUGGAGCCGCGUCGAGCCUUAGUACUUACCCGUAUAUGCGCUAUAAUUAUUGUUUAUAUGCUUGCAUUUUAUCACUAUUAUUUGAUACUAACCGAUGUUUUGGUUUGAUUAUCUUUUUUGCAUGACAUUGCAUAUUAAAGGAGGCGUUAAUCCACAUUCAAUUACUAAGUUAGAAAAUUUGACAUGGAGAAUGAAUUUCUUAGUAAAGUUGAGGAUAAUGUGGCCGUUCGUGCUUGGUCAGAGAGGCUACAAUCUGAGAGGGGGGAUAACUUGGCAGAAGGGUAUGUAUCGGAGCUGCAGGAUUUCACUCGCGUCAAUGUAGUACAGAAUGAGCUGCAAGAGUUGAGAGACAUUUGGGCUAGUUAGGAUGAAGGGAUCAAGCAGUUGUUUUACCAAAGCUAUGGUGACAUAUCCUACCUGCUAGAUAUUAGAGUGGAUCAGCAUUUGUUCUGAGCCUUGGUGCAGUUUUGGAAUUUUGCGUACAAGUGUUUCACUUUUGGAGAAGUGGAUUUGGUACCUACCAUGGAGGAAUACACUACGCUGCUUAGAUGUCCAAAGAUUCAGGUUCGGAAGACUUAUGCCUGGGUUUUUAGUAAUCAGGCUUUCGUGAAGAAAUUGAUGAGCAUUUCUAGGAUGAGCGAGCCUUGGGUCACUGCUCGGAUUCAGCAAAAAGGAGAUAGCAAAUGUGUCCCUUGGGAGAAUUUGCGAGAUUUGAUCUUAACUCAUCCAGACGAAAGAAAGAGGGUUGAUAUAUUUGCCUUAAGCAUCUACGGAUUAGUGAUCUUUCCUAAGGCUUUGAGACACGUGGACGAGGUGUUCAUUGACUUGUUUGAUCCUCUUGAAAAGGGAAUCACACCGAUACCGGCAAUAUUGGCAGAAACGUUCAGAUCUUUGAGCUCAUAUUGGAAGACAGGCGAGGGGCAAUUUAUUGGAUGUGCUCAACUAUUGAUGGUAUGGUUUCAUGGACACUUUUGGAAGGUGGACAAGGUUUCCUAUCGAGUCUUUUUCGAAGGUUAUUCCCCUUUGAAAGAAGAGGCAGCUAUACAGAGGAAAGCGGAUAUCUCGAAGGAGAAGUGGAUGGAUAUUUUUCAGAACCUCAAGGAGGAGGAUAUUGAGUGGAGAACUUAUUGUAUGGUUCCUGAUGAGAUCAUGUACCGAUGAGGUAACUUUGAUUGGGUGUCGUUGUUAGGAAUUUUGGGAGCUACCGGGUAUACUUCACUGCUAGCCUUGAGGCAAUAUAAGUCGAGGCAGUUUGUACCCAUGACCCACGGACUUGCUCAGAGUGAAUUCUCGUUUAAAGGUGCUCACUAUAAGAAGGGAGUUCGGGAGUUAUCGGACGCUUGGAAGCAAACUUGUUGGAUGAAGAGGUUAGCCGUCGGUUCCAUGGUAACGCCCGAGUAUAGCGAGUGGUUUAAGAAGAGGAUUAAUGAUAAUAUUCCUAGGCCAAGCUUGGAGAAUGCUCUACCUAUCGGGGAACAAUUACAAGUCACCCCAUCAGAAUUGGAAAUUAUAAGGCAAGAUUUUGAGAAGAAGAGUUCGGAGCUUGAGAAGAAGAUCGAAUAAUUAGAGGAAGAAAAGAUGCACCUAAGGUUAGAAGCUGAUGUCCAGAGGUAGAGGCUGAAAAGUGGAGAAAAGGGAAAACUAAGGCCGAAGAAGACCUAAACAGCUUGAAGACUGACUAUAAGAAGCUGCGCCUGUCUAUGAGAAUUGCGGGUUUAGGUAAGACUUCCGAACAAUGGCGUCAUGAAAUUUGGGAAGAAAAGGUCAAUACCGACUGGUGGGAAAGGAAAUUUCGAGAAGCUCAAGCACGAAACGAAGAUUUGGAGAAAAGUUUGUCAAAAAGCAUAAAUGAGUGAGGGGAAUUAAGGGUUAGAGUGGCAGAACUUGAGAAGUCCCUACAUCAGUAUCGAAACCGCAACACUGCGACGGAAUUGAGGGCAAGCUUGAGCAAGAUAGAAGAAAUGAAAGGAAAAAUAGAAGAGUUAGAAGCGUCACUGCAAAACUGUGAGAUGCGAGUCUAGUUUUUAGAAACAAACGAGGAUCGUUGGAAAGUGCAGCUUUACCAUGGGCAAGACCAAGUCAGAAACAGGGAUUACCUUAUGGGGGAGGCCAUAACCCAGAUUCGGGAAGUAGCGGACUACUUGCAAACUUUAGCUGUUCAAGCGGACACACUAAGCGUGAAAUAUAAGUUAGAGUCAGAGCACGGACAAGAGCUAGCCUCGUUGCUUAGAAAAAUUAGGACUUUAAGUGUUAGAGCGAAAUUUUAUUUGUAAACUCGACUUUUUGUAAAAGAUUUUAUUUUCAAGUGAAAUUUUCUAAGGGCAAUUGAAUCAAAAUUGUUGCUUCCUUUGCAUUCAUGCAUUUGCAUUACAUCAUAUCAUUAUGCAUCAAAGGCCAUAAGAGUUUUCUAAUUAAUUAAUUAAAAAUUAUUUCAGUAACCUGGAAACCAACGAAAACCAACCAACCAUGCACCCCUACGAUACAAGAAAAAAAAUCAAUGGAUAAGAGACUCGAGAAAUUGGAGCAAAUGCAAAAAGACAUGCAAGAACAAAUGCAGUCUCAGAUGCAAGAGCAACUAGCCAAGAUUAAAAGAGAGAUGAAGGAACAAAUAAUGGAGUCCCAAAGAGAAAUGAUGUCCUAGUUAUCCAAGUUGUUGUUGGGAGGAACGGUAAGGGAAAUGGCCCCAUGAACAAAGUUGAAGAAACUAAUGAGGAUCCUCAAUACCCCUCUGGCUUCACUCCAACACAUGUACCGAUAAAGCCCGAGAUUAAUCUACCGAAACCAUCUGUCACGAUCAUGCCCCAACAGGUUCAGGCCUGAGCUUCAAUACCGAUGAAUUUCCAAACUGGCUCAGGCUCUAACUUUGUCAACAACCCAAAUUAUCUGCCCGUUCCCGACUUGGAUGAAAUUGCUGAAGAAGAAAAGGCGAGGAUGGAUUCGCAAAAACAAUUAGAAGAACGAUGUAGAUGGCUUGAGGAGAAAUUCAAAGCCAUGGAGAGCGCAGAUCAUCAUCAAGGGAUUGAUGCCAAAUACCUGAGUCUAGUCCCAGACUUAGUCCUUCCCCCUAAAUUCAAAAUGCCCGAAUUCGAAAAAUACAAUGGAACGAGCUGUCCUGAAGCCCACAUCACUAUGUUCUGCAGGCGAAUGACGGGAUAUGUUAAUAAUGACCAGCUAUUAAUCCACUGUUUUCAAAAUAGUCUGGUUGGGGCGGCGUCUAAGUGGUACAACCAAUUAAGCCGAGCUAAAAUUAAUUCAUGGAAGGACCUGGCUCGGGCCUUUAUGAAGCAAUACAGUCAUGUGACGGACAUGACCCCCGACAGAAUCACUCUCCAGAAUAUGGAGAAACAGUCAAAUGAAAGCUUCAGGCAGUACGCACAAAGAUAGAGGGAGGUGGCAAUACAAGUUUAGCCACCACUUCUAGAAAAGGAGACAACGAUGCUCUUUAUAAAUACCUUGAAUGCCCCUUUUAUCACCCAUGUGUUGGGAAGCGCCACCAAGAGCUUCUCCGAUAUAGUGAUGACAGGGGAAAUGAUCGAAAAUGCCGUGAGAAGUGGUAAGAUAGAAGCUAGAGAAAAUACCAGAAAGUCGGUCCCGAGAAAAAGAGACAAUGAAGUAAACAACACGAGCACAUCUAACAAAGGUCAGUCUAACUCAUUCACUGUAAAUCAACCCAAGACGGUGACCACCAGUCAGCAAAGUUCUGUAAGACAAGAAUCCAAUGCGAGGGAGAACACAGAAAUGCCACAAUUCACCCCUAUACCCAUGACGUAUAGGGAGUUGUACCAGAACCUGUUCAAUGCUCAUGUGGUCUCCCCUUUCUACUUGAAGCCACUGCAGCCCCCGUAUCCCAAAUGGUAUAACGCGAACGCCCAAUAUGAGUACCACGCAGGAAUCACCGGCUACUCUAUCGAAAACUGCGUUGCGUUUAAAAAAUUAGUCCAAAAACUCAUUAAGAUGGGGAUCGUGAGAUUUGAUGAUCCUGCUACACCCAAUGUAGCAGGAAACCCACUCCCCAAUCAUAUCGACCAAGGAGUGAAUGGGAUAAGUGAAGGCUCGAACAAGAAGACCAAGUAUGAGGUGGCAGAAGUUAGGACCCCGUUGAGGCGGGUAUGGAAAGAGAUGGCCAAGAGAGGAUUGAUCGUUUCAGAUUCAAGGGAAGAAUCCGAAGAAGAGAGAAACUACUGUGAGUUUCACGACGAGGUGAGGCAUGAAAUCCAAGAUUGCAUGGAGUUCAAGGCCCUAGUACAAAACAUGAUGAACAGUAAGGAAAUAGAAUUCUUUGAAGAGACCGAAAGCCCCAUAGAGGGAAAUAUAUGUGCAUCAGAGGGAGGAUCAGCAGCCCAGAAUCAAACGACCAACUACCCUGUGGUUAUCAUAUCGAGACCCAAAAAUAAUGAUGUUGGAGUACAAAUGCUACUGAGGGUCAUAAUCCAAAGACCUGCAGUCUUGCCUUACAAGGACAGCAAAAAGGUCUUGUGAAAAUAUGAUUGCAGUGUGACGAUGCCGGGAAAAGAAAGUCCAGUUGACGCUUCGAGAGGGGAUCAAGACAGGGGUUCCUAUACACGUAGUGGGAGACGCUAUGAUACUGUGAAUGAGGAGGCACCGCCCACAAAAGGAAAAGCUCAAGAGGUCGAGGAAGUGAAAGGAAAAGCAACCAAACCUGUUAAUGAGCCAGUUAACGAAGAGGAGGCCAAGGAGUUUUUAAAAUUCUUAAAGCAUAGCGAAUACAGUGUGGUAGAACAGCUACGUAAACCAGCCCGUAUUUCGGUGCUGGCCUUGCUUCUAAGCUCAGAAGUUCAUCGUAGCGCGCUAAUGAAGGUCUUAAACGAGACAUAUGUUGCCAAUGAUAUCUCCGUUAACAAGUUGGACCGGUUGGUGAGCAACAUAAGUGCCGACAAUUAUAUCUUUUUUAAUGACGACGAAAUACCACCCGGGGGCAUGGGGUCGACUAAAGCUCUGCAUAUCACCACACGCUGUAAAGAGUAUACGCUGCCAGGUGUACUGAUUGACAAUGGAUCGGCUUUGAACGUCCUGCCAUUGACCACGCUGAAUAGAUUACCUAUAGACAGCUCUCAUAUGAAGGAGUGCCAGAACAUCGUGAAGGCAUUCGAUGACACGGAGAGAAAGGUGAUAGGCAGAAUUGAGGUACCUCUUCAGAUUGGGCUAAACACAUAUGAGGUGGAUUUCCUCGUGAUGGAUAUCAAGCCCUCAUGCAAUUGCUUGUUGGGGAGGCCCUAGAUACAUUCAGCUGGGGCAGUGCCUUCCUCGUUGCAUCAAAAAUUGAAGAUAAUAUCGGAAGAGAGGUUGAUAACAAUCAAAGUUGAGGAGGAUAUUAUUGCAACUGUGAGCAAUAAUGCACCCUAUUUGGAGACGGAUGACGAAGCAAUCGAAUGCUCAUUUCGAUCUUUGGAAUUUGUUAAUGCGACGUUCAUCGCCGAGGGAAGCAAAAUUCUAGUGCUGAAAUUGUCCAAAACCACGAAGAUGAGCCUCCAGCUGACAUUUGAAAAAUGGGCUCUACCAGGAAGGGGACUUGGGAGACAUCUGCAAGGAAGGUUCAAAACGCCAACGCUGAAAGACAAGAGGCACCACUUUGGCUUAGGAUAUAAGCUGGAUGCGAAACAAAGGAGGAGGGAGCUGGAAAAGAAGCAAGAAAGAAGGAGAGCUCAAUUAACGGGGGAGGAAAUCAAGUGGGAACCUAUGAUAUUCCCCCAUAUAUCGAAAACAUUUGUGUUUGGGGGAAUUAUUCAUCCCGAGAGAGACACGCUAAUGAAGGGAGCUAUAGAAGAAAGGCUGGAAGCUUGGACAUUAACGUCAUGUACGAAGAGGAGACUGGAAGAGAAAGUUUAUCGGAAAUUGGGCUCUACACACCUGGAAGGGUUCUGGACAACUGGACUGCGGAAGAGAUCCUUGUAGUUUUUAGAACGGAUUUAGAGUAAUGUCCAAAACACACUUAUUGCUCUAGGCCUAGGAGUGAUAGGGAUCUUUUGUGAAGUAGGCCGAUGUUUAAAAAUGUGUUUCAAUAAAAAUGUACGGUUAUUAUCAUUUUUGAGCAAAUGUUCUCUCGUCCUCUCAAUUUCAUUCAUAACCAUACAAAUGAUUACUUUUGGAUUCUUUUAUCCUUGAAACAUUCUUCUAAAUAUUCUUUCAUUCGUCAUUCAUAAUCAUAUCAUGCAAAUAAAUGUUUUGAAUUCUUUUGAUUCUUUGUAUCUGCCUUUGUCCUCAUAACAGGUCCCUAGAUAUUAAUGAUACGAGUGACACUGCUAGCGACUCAGAAUUUCUUUUCGAGCAAGAUGUGUGUAUGGAUGAUUCUCAGGAUUUUGAAGAUGACCAAAGCUGUAACCUAUCUCCUGAUUUGUUAAAGAUGGUAGAACAAGACGAGAAACAAAUCCUACCUCACAAAGAAUCAAUCGAAAUUGUGAGCUUAGGAGAAGGACAAGAGGUGAUGAUCGAAACAUGUAUCAAUACGGAAAUGAAGCGAGACCUCAUUGAAUUACUUCAAGAAUUCAAAGAUGUCUUCGCAUGGUCAUACCAAGAUAUGCCCAUGUUGGACACUGACAUCGUCGUGCAUCGACUCCCCAUAAAGGAAGAAUGUAAGCCAGUUCAACAAAAACUCCGAAGAAUGAGGCCCGAUGUUUUGCUAAAAAUAAAAGAAGAGGUUCGAAAGCAGUUUGACGCUGGAUUCCUGAAGGUGGUAAAAUACUCAGAUUAGGUAGCCAACAUCGUCCCUGUCCCUAAGAAAUAUGGAAAAGUGCGAAUGUGUGUGGACUACAGAGAUUUGAAUAAAGCCAGCCCAAAAGACAACUUCCCACGUUUUGCUACCAUAUGGGGCAACUUAUCAAAGAGCCAUGGUAACUCUUUUUCACAACAUAAUGCACAAAGAAAUCGAGGUUUAUGUCGAUGAUAUGAUAGCCAAGUCUCGAACAGAGAAGGAGCACAUACAAGUCUUGAGAAAAUUGUUCUUGAGGUUGAGGAAGUUUCAGCUAAAACUCAACCCCGCCAAAUGUACCUUUGGAUCCAAGUCUGAAAGUUGCUCCGAUUUGUGGUUAGUGAGAAAGGAAUCGAGAUCGAUCCAGACAAAGUUGAAGCCAUACAAGAGCUAUCCCCGCCGCGCACUCAGAAAGAAGUUCGAGGCUUUCUAGGAAGAUUAAAUUACAUUGCUCGGUUCAUUUCACAACUAACCGAGAAAUGUGACCCUGUCUUUCGCCUCCUCAAGAAACAUAACCCAGGCGAAUGGGAUGAAGAAUGCCAAAGGGCUUUCGACAAGGUCAAACAGUAUUUAUCCAACGCCCCGGUGCUGACGCCACCUAACCCCGAUAAACCGUUGAUACUAUAUUUGGCAGUAUUCGAAAACUCCAUAGGAUGCGUAUUGGGUCAGCAUGAUGAGUCAGGGAAGAAAGAGAAGGCCAUUUACUAUCUUAGUAAAAAGUUCACAGAAUGUGAGACAAGGUACCCGCCGAUAGAGAAGUUGUGUUGUGUCCUGAUUUGGACAACCCGAAGACUGAGGCAGUAUAUGUUGUAUCACACCACAUGGCUCAUCUCAAAAUUAGACCCCUUGAAAUACAUGAUAGAGUCAACAGCUUUGAAUGGAAGGAUGGCCCGAUGACAGAUUCUGCUUUCUGAAUUCGACAUUGUCUAUGUGAAGCAAAAAGCGGUAAAAGGGAGUGCAAUAGUGGAUUUUCUGGCCAGUAGAGCUUCGAAAGACUACGAGCCUUUGAACUUCGACUUUCCGAAUGAGGACCUAAUGUGUGUCGCUACCACUGAAGAAGGUGCUCUGGAAGAACUUCCUUGGAAAUUAAACUUCGAUGGGGCGUCAAAUGCUGUGGGCAAUGGAAUCGGGGCCGUCUUAGUAUCCCCAAACGGAGAUCAUUAUCCAUUCACUAGCAAAUUGGAUUUUGAUUGCAAGAAUAACAUGGCAGAAUACGAGGCGUGCAUCAUGGGAGUCCGUGCAGCCAUAGAACGGAAGAUUAAAGUGCUAGAGGUGUAUGAGGAUUCCGCACUAGUGAUUUAUCAACUCAAAGGAGAAUGAGAGACCAGAGACCCCAAGUUAAUCGAUUAUCGGAAGCUGGUCCUUGAAUUGGUUAAAGAGUUUGAUGACAUUACCUUCAACUACCUUCCACAAGACGAAAAUCAGAUGGCUGAUGGUUUGGCUACCUUAGCCUCCAUGAUCAAGGUGAACAAACAAGAAGAUGUCAAACCCAUCCGGAUGAGCAUUUAUGAAGUUCCGGCCCACUGUUAUAAUAUUGAAGAAGAAGAAGAGAAAGAUGAUCACCCUUGGUAUCACGAUAUAUUGCAAUACGUGAAGAAUCGUGAGUACCCGAAUCAGGCAAGCGAGAAUGACAAAAGAACGCUAAGAAAAUUGGUCAUCGACUAUGUCUUAGAUGGGGAUAUCCUGUACAAAAGAAGAAAGUAUCAAGUGCUACUAAGAUGUGUAGACGCUGUAGAGGCUAAGAAAAUCUUGGAAGAAGUCCAUGAAGGUGUUUGUGGGACACACGCUAAUGGCUUUACAAUGGCCAGACAAAUUAUGAGUUUCGGGUACUAUUGGUCUACCAUGGAAGGAGACUGUAUCAAUUACGCUAAAAGAUGCCAUAAGUGCCAAAUCUACGGAGACAAAAUUCAUGUGCCUCCUUCACCGCUGCAUGUCAUGGUUUCUCCAUGGCCAUUCUCUAUGUGGGGCAUGGAUGUGAUUGGACCAAUAUCGCCAAAAGCUUCCAAUAGGCAUCGUUUUAUCUUUGUGGUUAUCGACUAUUUCACCAAAUGGGUAGAAGCCGCUUCGUAUGCUAGUGUUACAAAGUCAGCAGUAAGCAGGUUCUUGAAAAAAGAGAUCAUAUGCCGAUAUAGAAUGCUGGAGAGGAUCAUAUCUGACAAUGCAUUAAACCUAAACAAUAGUAUGAUAGUGGAAGUCUGCAAUCAAAUCAAGAUCAGACAUCACAACUCGUCACCAUAUCGCCCGAAGAUGAAUGGGGCGGUGGAAGCGGCCAAUAAAAAUAUUAAAAAUAUUGUGGGGAAAAUGACCGAAACCUACAGAGACUGGCAUGAGAAGUUAUCGUUUGCUCUCCUUGCCUAUCGAACGUCAGUCAGAACCUCAACUGGGGCAACCCCUUUCUCUUUGGUCUACGGGAUGGAAGCGGUGUUGCCGAUCGAAGUUGAGAUCCCGUCACUUCGAGUGUUGUCAGAGUUAAAGUUGGACGAGGCAGAGUGGGUCCAGUCUUGAUAUGACCAAUUGAACCUAAUUGAGGAAAAGAGGCUAAGAGCUAUCUGUCAUGGUCAGUAUACCAAAGGCGAAUGAUUCGCCCUAGAGAAUUCCACGAAGGAGACCUAGUUUUGAAAAAGAUCCUUCCCAUACAGAAGGACUUUCAAGGGAAAUGGAUGCCUAAUUGGGAAGGGCCUUACGUGGUGAAGAAAGCUUUCUCUAGAGGAGUAUUGAUUCUAGCCGAGAUGGACGGCAGAAACUUGCCCAAUCCUGUAAAUUCGGAUUCGGUCAAGAAGUAUUUUACCUGAAGAAAGAGAGACCAGAGUGAAAACCCGCAAAGGGCGCUCUAAAAUCCAAAAAAAAAAAACACGGAGAGGCCAAGGUGAAAACCCGCAAAGGGCACUUUAAGACCAAAUGGGCUUUUGAGCUGAAAACCUAAAAACGGGCAGCUCAAAUUUUGAAUAUGAGGCAUAUGGUAGUCUUGUCCUCCGAAAAUCAGCAAAACAGAAGAAUAUUACACCUUGGAGCAUCAACAAAAUACACGGGAUCUCCUGAACACACAUUUGGUUCGAAUGAGCUUUUGAGAAAUUAGAAUAGUGAAACUCGUGCUGCGAUAUCUGGGGCACCUUUUUCUGCACCUUAUCAGAAUCGCUAUCCUAUGUAUUCACAUCAAAUUUUGCUUAAUAAAAUUCCAUUGGUCUAUUAUGAUAAUCUCUUUCAAGCAUUUUUGUUGAAAUCGCGAUUUUUGAACAUGUAAUAUUCAUAAAAAAGAUGUUAUGCAUAUUACUCUGGAAAGUCUCUAAAUGGUACAAGGACCUGAAACAGGGCCACUAGUCAGGACUAACCAGGUUCAAAGUUGGAAAACAUUGAGAAAAGAGUAGUCCAAAUUAUGACUAUUUCUUUAAAUUUUCUGUCAGAGAUAACGGCUAAGCAAGACGCGAUAACAUAUCAAUGAUAGAGCCCGGACGAAUUAUGAGUAAUGACACCUUAAGCGUUUAAAAGGAAUCACUCUCAUGACAUUUCUACGUCCAUAAUCAUUCAUUUAAUUAAGGAGCACUUGAGUCAUUUCGAUCAUAGCGUUCUGAUUAUUUGACAUAAACACCACAUUUAGUUAGGGACAUUUGAUUCAUCUCGAUCAUAGCAUCCUAGUUAUUUGGCAUACACAGAUACAAGAAACCCAUUCUACACAUCAUGUCUUUAGAAGACAGUGUAGCGACAUUGGCAAAUCCUGCAGAUUUGGCAUCCCUAUAUUGGCGGAGAGCAGAUCGAAGAUAUCAGAUUUGACGUCUUUGUAUUGGCGGAGAGCAGAUCAAAGAUAGUAGAUUUGGCAUCUCUGUAUUGGCGGAGAGCAGAUCGAAGAUAGCAGAUUUGGCGUCUUUGUAUUGGCGGAGAGCAGAUCAAAGAUAGUAGAUUUGGCAUCUCUGUAUUGGCGGAGAGCAGAUCAAAGAUAGCAGAUUUGGCGUCUCUGUAUUGGCGAAGAGCAGAUUAAAGAUAGUAGAUUUGGCAUCUCUGCAUUGGCGGAGAACAGAUCGAAGAUAGCAGAUUUAGAGUCUCUGCAUUGGCGGAGAGCAGAUCAAAGAUAGCAGAUUUGGCGUCACUGUAUUGGCGGAGAGCAGAUCAAAGAUAGUAGAUUUGGCAUCUCUGUAUUGGCGGAGAGCAGAUCGAAGAUAGUAGAUUUGGCAUCUCUGUACUGGUAGAGAGCAGAUCGAAAAUAACAGAUUGGUUCAUGAGUUUUCAAGAAGCAAGUUGAGGAUAGCCAAUUUGACACUCCUGAAGACAUCAGAAUACCUUCGGGGAAGAUGAGGAUAAAGAUUUUGAGACUGAGCCAGACCGGGCAAAUUUGGUCCCUUUUGUAGUCUUUGCUCUAUUCUUGUUACACAACAAUGAGCAAAGUGGGGCAACUAUAAUGACCAAUUUUGGCCCGGGCCCGCUAAAACCCCAAUCACAUAUAUACAUAUAAAAUAUCUACAAAUAAAUAAAUGAAUAAAAUAAAGUCCAUUUAGUUAGUGUCCUAUUACAAGCCCAAACAGUCCACUAAAAUUAAUACCCUAGCCCAUUUACAAAACAGUCCAAGGCUUCAAGGCCCAAAAUAGCCCAAAAGCUGAAACAACUUCAGUAACCCAAGGUCACUCCUCCUUCCUGUGCCGCAACAGCAAUCGGAAAGCAGCUCCGUGCCUCCGUACGCCCUAACAUUUUAGAAGCCACGCCCGCGCCAGCGCAGUCCAGUACCCGAGCGCCACGCACCCUGUACCUGCAAAGAAUGGACAAACGCACAACAAAACAAACAAAACAACGAAGAAUAUUGUAUUUUUCGAUUUUAUUUUUUUAUCAUUUUUACCCCGAUUCGGCUAUAAAGCAAGGGGAUUUCACCAGUUGUAAGGUUACGAACACAAUCAAUACAUUUGAAAUACCAAACGCAAAAGAAAUUAAAAGGUGAGAUUCAGAUUCUGGGUUCCUUUUUUUCUCUUUUCGUUUCCCCCUAUUUUCUUGUUUCCUCAGAUUUACACAUUGCGCAUUUUGAACAAAGAAAAAUCAAAGAGAAAAGAGACAGAAGCUUUACCUUCGUGAGUGCGCCUUGGAGAUCUCCAUCCCCUUCGUCGAUAUCGAAGGCGGAGAGAGGGCUUUGUGGCUAAAGCCAUUAAACCGUGGAGUCAAGUAGAAAGAAGGCUCCACCGCAGGCUUUUAUCCAUCAAUCGUCGUGGUGGAUUAAAGGUCGAACGACGGCUGAAUGAGGGCAGGUACUUAGGGUUUCGACUUCCC